GGUUCGUCUGCGGGGCAGAAGCACAGGCGUUAGCGGCCGCGCUGCAGUUUCCGCGCUCCUGCAACCUCGCUCCACCCGGGACGAGAGCAGGCCGCCAGGGCCGCUGCUUCGGGUGUCCCCACACAGCGUGUCCCCCACCCCACUGCCGAGAGGGCAGCCGCGCAUCCCUCACCGGCCUCACUCCACCCGUUCUGCCCCACAUUGGUGGCUCAGGGCGGUCACCGAAGCCGUCCCACUCCCACCCCCCGAAUUUCCUGGGGCGGGGGCGGGGGGCCAUCAGGUCAGGCCGUCCUGUGUGGACAUCUGUCCUGAUAGCUCUUGAACAACAGUGGUUCUCAAACUAGUUGACAUCUGAAUCACCUGGGGUAGUCGUGAAACAUACAGAUUACCCGGUGGCCAGACCCAGAGAUUUCUGUAGUAGAGCAAGGCCUAAGGAUUUCUCGGCUAUUUACUUAUUCAUUCCCUGUUUUCAUCUCCAGGGCUUUACCAGUACAGGCUGAUUUUUUUUUUUUUUUCUGGAGAGAGAGAGAGAGAGACAGACAGACAGACAGAGACAGAGACAGAGAGAGACUGACUCUACAGCAUUGAAGUUUAGUUCAACGUGUUAGACACUUGACUCCAGCCUGGGCCACUUACAUGGCAAGGCAACACACUAAGUGAGCUAUUUUGCACACCCUUCUCUGUAUUUUAAACAAGGCUCCCAGAUGAUUCUGGAGAUGGUUCAAGAACCAAACUUUGAGAAACACUGGUAUGAAUUAAUCUGGAAGAAGUUGGGAGAAUGACCAUCUCAACCAUUAGGUGUCACUCAAAGCAAAAUUUUAAGCUACCAACAGAUGUUCUUAAGAAUUUGGAUAAAUUCACCUAAUAAUAUUCAUUGUUGUUUUGUAGACAUCUUUGUUCUUAAUUCUUUUCAGUCGUUAAGAUUAUAGAAGGGCCAGAAAGAAAAUAGUCUUAGUUUCAACACUUAUUUGGGGUUUAAGAUCUCUUUACUUAAAAAAAAAAGAUUUAACACACUUUACAAAAAGUACAUAAAAGAGAAUGACAAAACUAAGAAAUGGAUUGUUUAAAGCAAUGACUUGUCAGAAGCCAAGUAUAAGGAUGUGUUAGGAAUCUGAGAUGAAUUAGUUACUACUAUGAUCACUAAUAUUACUCUUGACUUUAUCUUUGUUAAAGCAAAAUUAAAGCAGGGGAAUCCAAUAUAGUGAACCCUCAGAUUUUUAAGGAGUGUUCCAAGGACUUCAGAAUCCUCAAAUUUGGGCAUAUACCCGAGGGUGUAAAUUUUUUCCCAUAGAAUUAAACCCACACUAAUAUCUGAACAGAGAAAGUUCCUCUCUAAGAUUCUGUUCCACACAUUAACCUCAGAACAUCUGAUCCAAAUUCUUGCCUCUGUAAAAGGUUAUCAGAGGUCCUCAGGCAUUCAUAACCUGUGGAUAUCAAGGGUCUUCUGCUUUAUUUAAAAGUUGAAUAUUUUAUCAAGUACUUUUGAUGCUAAUUUAUAGAGAUAAGGAAAGAGGGCAAGUGGGAUUGAUCAAUAAUUCUAGUUAUGUGUACAAUAACACAUCAAUUAUAUAAAAGUUUCUCAUUGAAAUGAAGUUUAAGUGGAGUGCUUAGAACACAAUAUUCUCUCUCUUCUCUCCAUAGACUGAUACUUAUUAUCAUAUUCAAAUAAUGAGAAAAAAAUCGGAGAGACAAGCAUAAGAAAACUUGAAAUCUAAUCUUGCUUCUGGCAUUUACCAGUGAUGUGAUUUUGGAUGAGCUACUCAAUUUCUCUGACCUUUUACAUCAUGGAGAUAAAAUGUCUGCCUCGUGGUCUUAUUCAAGGGGAAGAGAACCUUGUGGUCUUGAUGGAAUUGGAGUUCAGAGCCCUCUAGUCAUCUUCCCCUAACAUUUCUCCCCCUCUGGGAAUAUGGACCAAAAUUCUUUUUGGAAUGCAGAAGCCCUUGGAUCUUACUAUCAUGGUGGAAGAGACAGAAAAUUACUAGACAAGUAGGUAACAGAAUUCCUGGGUCAAUACAGCUAGGGAAUGUAAGGUAAGGCAAAGAGAUGGGGAGUGACACGGAAUGCUCUUACAGACACAGUGUUUAUGAAGGAAGGGCUUGUAUGAUGAGGUGACACUAAACAGUGAUGUGAAUGAGAGGAGAGGAUGGUGUGGACAUCUAGGGUAGGAGCACUUUAGGCAAAGAAUGAAAUAAGUGUUGAGAGAGAUCUUGAUAUGAUGGAGAAAUGGUAUGUUGGAUUACGAGGAAGAACGGGAUACAUAUGAGAUCAUAUGAGUCUCAGCAAGGAGUUUUGACUUGAUCUUAAGUGCAGUGGAUGUGAUUGUAUGGUCUCAAAUUGUAGAAUGGUAUAUUAAUAGGCCAACAAUGACAGCUAUGUGCAUAACACACCAUAGGUGGAACCAGGAAACUUUUUUUUUUUUUUACCACUAUUGUGGUAAUGAAGAUACUAAAUGAUGGUGGUUUAGACUAAGGGAGUGAUGGAAGUAGUGAGCAGAGGCUAGAUUCAGGAGAUGUUUUAAAGAUAGACUAGAUUGGACCUCCUGAGGGGACUGUCUUUAGGGGAUGAGGAAAAGAGAAUAGCCAAGGUUUCUUUUUACAUUUAUUAAUUAGAAAAUAUAGUGACCUUUAUGAAUGCCUGGGCUACCACUGGAACUCACAUAUGUAAAAGGCAUGCUUUCCAGGAACUCACAGUUUACAAAUUCAGAUUUUUAGACCCCUAUAGGCAAAUAUAGAAGCUGUGAAGUGGGAAGGGUAGAAUAGUCUGGUCAGUAUUUGAAGCUUUAGUUGUAGUAUGAAGGUAGAAUAAGAAUUACUAGAUGCAGAAAGGCAUGUGUGUGUGGGAGGGGUGGGGAGUGUAUUCCAGAAAGUAGACCAGCAAACACAUAGCUCAGCAGUUUUUUUUUUUUUUUUUUUUUUUUUUUUUGGGAGUGGUAAGUAGUGCCUGGGGUACUGAUGCAAUAAAAGCCUGGACAGUCAGGUUGGGGAGAUUCCUGGGAUCAACUAGGGAGUGAGAACUUCACUCCAGAGAGAGUAGUGAUGACUGGGUAUAUAGUUCAGUGGUUGUGGAGCCCCAAACAAAAACAAGUCAGACACAGUGGUGAGCUAAUGAACUUUUUAGGCAGGAGAGAGACAGUGAUAGACUCUUCUUACCUAAUAGAUGAGUCAAUUCACUGACUGUGAGAAACCAGUGACAUUUGCCCAAAAACGUUAAAUACAUAUUAUCUCAAUUGGCUGACCACAUUGUUUUUAAUUCUGUUAUGGACAGAUUAAAUUUCUUUUUCACUUACUGAUAUUGGCAAGCAUACACAUGCUCACUCUUUGGAUGGAGAACUCAUAUUAGUUUUGUGGACAAUUGCUUUUUAUUGAAAAUCUGUUUACUCUGUCAGACACUAACUGCUGGAAAUUCAUCACUGACAAAAUGACAUCCUUGCCCUUGUGAAACUUGUUAUAUGAAGUUGACACAGAAUAAGUGAUUUCAAAUUUGAUGUAUCAUCAAGAGAAAAGUUAAAAAAAAAAACAGUUAUAAUGUGCAUAGUGGGGGAACAAACCUCACUUGGAGAUUCAUAGAGGACUCUCUCUUGAUGAAAUGGUCUAAAGACCAGCUUGGCUAUAAUUUUAUUAUUCACAGCAAUAUUGUCCUCUAUUUUCUAACAAUUAACCUUUCUUUCAAGUAUUUGCUUGCUUUCUGUUUUAAAUGGUGCCCAGCUCUUGUCUUCCUUGAAAAGAACAACUGACAUCUCUUACUUUCCCAUGCCCCAAACUAAGAUUUCAUUAUUUCCAGAAUUCCAUGCAAUCUUGACUUCUUUGCUUUCAGUCAUUCACUCACUCAGAGAAGACUCCAGAUUGUCAUGAUUAAAACACCAGAACUAAGAUGUUACACAUGUGCCAACUACUGUAUUUUACUGUUGACUGUAAAUAAUUAAUCCCCCAAUAAAGAAAAGAAAAUAUCCACCAGAAGAGAGGUGUGGAAUGAUAACAUAAAAAUGAAGAUGAGCUCCUUUCUUUUCUACAACAUGCGAAGGACUAUGAGUCUACUCUGUGGGUGGUGGAGAAGCAGAACAGUUUUGGAAUGUAAAUACCAGACAUGAGAAAGAGAAUUGAGAUCUAGCAUUCAUGCAGUGCAUAUUGAGAUUCAUAUGUUAGCUUUACUACUGACCAGUUGUGUGACUAUGGGCCCAAGUUGUGUACCAUCUACCUAGGCAGGGGUCAUGAAAAGUAAAACGACUCAUCCCCACACCUAUGGACAUCAAAUCUUUGAUAAGGGGGCCCAAAGCAUUAAAUGGAAGAAGGAGGCUCUCUUCAAUAAAUGGUGCUAGGAA